UACGGAGGGUGCAAGCGUUGUCCGGAUUUAUUGGGUUUAAAGGGUGCGUAGGCGGCCCGUUAAGUCAGCGGUGAAAUCCCACGGCUCAACCGUGGAACUGCCGUUGAUACUGGCGGGCUUGAGUUCGGUCGAGGCGGGCGGAACUGGUGGUGUAGCGGGGAAAUGCUUAGAUACCACCAAGAACCCCGAUUGCGUAGGCAGCUCGCUGGGCCGAAACUGACGCUGAGGCACGAAAGCGUGGGGAGCGAACAGG
rnacentral:rRNA from 1 species